GUCAGUGUUUUAGAAAGUCAAAGAAGGCUGCUGGGCUUAAAAUGUCAUGAGACCAAGAGACAGUGGAGCAAUGCAUGUUUGAAAAGGGAAAGAGAAAAGAAGCUCAGAAGGAAUUCCAAUAUUCAGAUGUGACAUAUAGAAGAAAGUGUCGACAUGAAAGAAUUAUCCGCCAGAGAAUUCAGAGGAAAAUCAAGAAUGCAUUAUAUCAUGAAAGUAAAGAAAGGAUAAUGACCCAAAAAAGAGCUUGGGGCAAGAUGGCCGACUAGACACAGCAAGUGGAAUUACCGCCAGCAAGGGACUGAGACAACUGGCGCACUCCUAACAAAUCAUCCGAUGGAAGGCACCAGGAGUGGCCGAGGGAAGACACAGAAGGAAGCUGGGCUGAAACAGGAGGAACAUUGCACUGGGCUACCAUGCGCUGGGACUUGUUCCUGGCCCCCAAGGACUCUCAGGGAAUGGGUGAGUUGAACUUGCAAGGAGCAACCUGUUCUAACCACGGACCUCUGGAAUUCCAGCUGCAGGAGGCCCCUCAACUGCCAUGGACACUCAGGUUGGCAGCCAGAGCUGCUUAGAGAAGUGGUAGGGGCAGCAAGCCAGCGGAUGUAGAACCCAGGGAGUUUGGUGCGAGAACAUUUGUAGCGGAGCACGGUCAGGGACUUCCAUCCCUCUAGGCUUGACAUGCUUUCAUAGGAGACUUUAGUUCUAGGGCAACAGUCGGACUUGAACUCUGCAGGGUGGUCUUGACCAUCAGACAAGGUUGGCCCAACAUGAGCACCCUUUAGUUUGCUGGCCUCUCCCAGAGCCCGAGCCUGGCAGCACCUGCUUGCAGGGAAGCCUCAGGUACCCUGAGGGCCUGCAUCAUAGCUUCUGUACUGGAAGGCCUUCCAUGACAGGGGGUAAGCGCUCCAGAAGUGCAGCUGCCAUGGCCACACACCAGCCUGCCCACUCCCACCCCACACUACAGCUUCCUGUGUGUCUACAGCAAACACCCACAUCACUUUGCUGACACAUAUGUGCACAGAUGGGUUUUGCUUUCUUUACCUUGCCAGCAUAUAUGUGUAAGUGCACCCUGCCGUGCUACUGCUGCAAGAAGAGUGCAGUCCACACCCCCUACCACCACCAUGGCAGUUAGAACCUUGGUGGUCCCAGAGCCAACCAGUCCUACACCGACCAUCACUGGCCAUUUUGCCAACACUGCCAUGGGAAUGAAACUAGUCACAGGGAACAGCAGACCUCCCCACCCUGAGUGACCACCCCUGCCUGUGGCACAUAGAAAACACAAAGAGAAUGCACACAGACCUGUGCCCAUCAGCGCCCUCCCCUAUUGCCAACACUUGUGCAAAUACAAUCGCCAGCAGGGGCCCCUGCCCCCAUAAGUUGCCUUUCCUCUGCCACUGUAGUCUACACUUGAGUGGAGACAGGCAUGCAGGCACCUGCUAACACCCUGCUGUAGCUGACCAGCAUGCACCCCACUGUGCUUCUGCUGCUGGCACAUGCAAAUGAGGAUGUAUUCCAUUGUCACCAAACUAGAAAAGGCUUUGACUGGUACCACCCAUCAGAAUGUAGGGACCAGUGGUUGGAGAGCACCAUGGCUCCCUCAGUGCAAAGGGAUUCGUAACCUCAAGGAGACAAACAACAAGAUUUGCUGGAUACAAGUUCCCCAGAAUUAGAGCAGGCAAUCCAAGAGUUUGGUAGCUGGGUGUUGGCUAUCUAGAAUCUUCCAGAAAUGAAGCAAGUUGGCUGAAUUCACCUUAUACCACAAUUAUGUCCUCAAAAUUAUCAAAUAGGAUAAAAGAAAAAAAUGCAUCCAAAGGUCAGCAACUUCAAAGAUUGAAGGAACAUAAGGAACGUUAAGUCCAAAAAGAUGAGAAAGAACCAGUGCAAGAACCCUGAAAACUGAAAGAGCCAUAGUGCCUUCUUUCCUUCCAAUGACCACACCACCUCCACCACCUCCUCUCCACGGGUUCUGAACCAAGCUGAGAUGGCUGUAAUGACAGAAAUUGAAUUCAGAGUAUGGAUAGGAGCAAUGCAUUGAAAACCAAUCCAAGGAAGCUAAGAAUCACAAAAAAAUAAUGCAGAAGCUGACAGACAAAGUAGCUAGUAUAGAAAAUAAUGUAAAGGAAUUCAUUACCAGCAGACAUGCCUUACAAGAGCUCCUGAAGGAAGCACUAAACAUGGAAAGGAAAGAAUAAAAUAGCCAGUAUAGAAAAGAACGUAAGGGAAUCCAUUACCAUCAGACCUGCCUUACAAGAGCUCCUGAAGGAAGCACUAAAUAUGGAAGGGAAAGAACAUCACCAGCCACUAUAAAAACACACUUAAGUACACAGACCAGUGACAUUAUAAAGUAACCACAUAAACAAGUCUGCAUAAUAAUCAAUUAACAUCAUGAUGACAGAAUAAAUGCACAUAUAUAAAUAUUCACCUUGAAUGUAAAUAAGCUAAAUGCCUCAAGUAAAAGGCACAAAGCAGUAAGCUGGAUAAAGAACCAAGACCUAUUGAUACACUGUCUUUAAGAGAUCAUCUCACAUGCAAUGACACCUUUAAAAUCAAAAUAAAGGGAUGGAGAAAAACCUACCAAGCAAAUGGAAAACAGAAAAAAAGCAGGAGUUGCAAUCCUAGUUUUACACAGAACGACAAGCCCAGGACCAGAUGGAUUCACAGCUGAAUUCUACCAGAUGUACAAAGAAGGGCUGGUACCAUCCUUGCUGAAACUACUCCAAAAAAAUUGAGGAAGUGGGAUUCCUCCCUAAAUCAAUCUAUGAGGCCAGCAUCAUCCUCAUACCAAAACCUGGAAGAAACACAACAAAAAAAGAAAACUUCAGGCCAAUAUCCUUGAUGAACAUUGAUGCAAAAGCCCUCGAAAAAAAAAAAAAAAAAACUUGCAAACCAAACUCAGCAGCACAUCAAAAAGCUUAUCCACCAUAAUAAAGUUGGCUUUAUCCCAAGGAUGAUAGGUUGGCUGAACAUAAAUAAAUCAAUAAAAAUGAUUCAUCACAUAAACAGAAAUAAAGACAAAAACUACAUGAUUAUAGAUGCAAAAAAAGCUUUUGAUAAAAGUUAAUACUUCUUCAUGUUAAAAACUCUCAGUAAACUUGGUAUUGAAGGAAUAUACCUCAGAACAGUAAGAGUUAUCUAUGACAAAACCACAGCCAACAUCAUACCUGAAUGGGCAAAAUUUGGAAGUGUUCCCCUCGAAAACCAGAAUAAGACAAGGAUGCCCUCUCUCACUACUCCUAUUCAACAUAUAAUUAGAAGUCCUGGCCAGAGCAAUCAGGCAAGAGAAAGAAAUAAAGGGCAUCCAAAUAGGAAGAGAGGAAGUUAAAAUAUCCCUGUUUGCAGACAUGAUCCUAUAUCUAGAAAAUCCUAUAGUAAGGACCCAAAAGUUCCUUAAGCUGAUAAACAAUGUCAUCAAAGCCUCAGGAUGCAAAAAUCAGUGUACAAAAAUCACUAGCAUUCCUAUACUCCAACAAGGGUCAAGCCAAGAGCCAAAUCUGGAACGCAACCCCAUUCACAAUUGCCACAAAAACAAUAAAAUACCUGGGAAUACAGUUAAUAAGGGAGGUGAAAUAUCUAUGCAAGGAGAACUAACAAACAAUGCUCAAAGAAAUCAGAGGUGACACAAACAAAUAAACAUCCUAUGCUCAGCUCAUGGAUUAGAAGGAUCAAUAUUGUUAAAAUGGCCAUACUGCCCAAAGAAAUUUUUUAAUUAAAUGCUAUUCCUAUUAAAUUACCAAUGACAUGCUUCACAGAACUAGAAAAAACUAUUUUAAAAUUUAUGUGGAUCCAAAAAAGAACCUGAAUAGUCAAGGCAAUCCAAAGCAAAAAGAACAUCCAGCUUAGGAUACCUCCUAAGCUGGAGCCAACGCUCUACCUGACUUCAAAGUAUAAUACAGGGCUACAGUAGCCAAAACAGCAUGGUCAUGGUACAAAAACAGACACCUAGACCAAUAAAGCAGAAUAGAGAGCCCAGAAAUAAAGCCACACAACUACAACCAUCUGAUCUUUGACAAAGCUGACAAAAACAAGCAAUGGGGAAAGGAUUUUCUAUUUCAUAAAUGGCCCUGGGAUAGCUAGCUAACCACAUGCAGAAGAUUGAAAUUAGACCUUUCCUUAUUACCAUAUACAAAAAUUAAUUCAGUAUUUAAAAAAUACCUAAAUGUAAAACCCAAAACUAUAAAAACCCUGGAAAACAACCUGGGCGGUACAAUUCUGGACAUAGAAACAAGCAAAGAUUUCAUGAAGAAGAUGCCAAAAAUUAUUGCAAUUAAAACAAAAAUUGACAAGUGGGAUUUAAUUAUACUUAAGAGCUUUUGCACAGCAAAAGAAUCUAUCAGCAGAGUAAACACACCACCCACAGAAUGGGAGAAAAUUUUUUCAAACAGUGUAUCUGACAAAGGACUAAUAUCCAGUAUCUAUAAGUAACUUAAAAAAAUUUACAAGAAAAAAACAAACAAACAGGCAGUGUGCAGUGGCUCACAACUAUAAUCCCAGCACUUUUGGAGGCCAAAGCAGAUUGAUCACUUGGGCCUAGGAGUUUGAGGCCAGUCUGGGCAACAUGGUGAAACCACAUCUCUACAAAAUAAAUAAAUAAAAAUAAAAAUAAAAAUUACAACAACAAAAACGCUAGGUGUGGUGGUGUGUGCCUGUAGUCCUAGCUACUUGGGAGGCUGAGAUGGGAGGAUCCCUUGAACAAAGGAGACAGAGGCUGCAGUGAGCUGAAAUUGCACCACUGCCCUCCAGCCUAGAUGACAGAGUGAGAUCCUGUUUCAAAACAAACAAAUAAUUCCAUUAAAAAGUGGGUAAAAGAUAUGAAUGGACACUUUUCAAAAGAACACAUACAUUCAGCCAACAAUCAUAUGAAAAGAAGCUCAACAUCACUGAUGAUUAGACAAAUGCAAAUCAAAACCAAAGAGAAAAACAUCUCACACAAGUCAGAAUGAUUAUUAUUAAAACUCAAAAACUAACAGAUGCUGCCAAGGUUGUGGAGAAAAAGAAACACUUAUACACUGUUGUUGGGAGGGUAAAUUAGUUCAACCAUUGUGGAAGACAGUGUGGCCAUUCCUCAAAGACCUAAAAAUCGAAGUACCAUCCAACCCAGCAAUCUCAUCACUGGGUAUAAACCCAAAAGAAUAUAAAUCAUUUUAUCAUAAACACACAUGCACACAUAUGUUUGUUGCAACACUAUUCACAAUAGCAAAGACAUGGAAUCAACCUAAAUGCCCAUCAAAGGUAGAGGGGAUAAAGAAAAUGUGGUACAUAUAGACCAUGGAAUACUAUGCAGCCAUAAAAAUGAAUGAGAUAAUGUCUUUUGCAGGAAUAUGGAAGGAACCGAAGGUUCUUACCCUUAGCAAACUCACAUGAACAGAAAACCAAAUACCACAUGUUUUGACCUAUAAGUAGGAGCUAAAUGAUGAUUACACAUGGACACGUAGAAGAAGGGAACAGCAGACACUGGGAUCUAUUGGAGGGUGAAGGGUAGGAAGAGGGAGAAGAUCAGGAAAAAUAACUAAUUGGUACUAGACUUAAUACCUGGGUGAUGAAAUAAUCUGUACAACAAAUCCCCAUGACACAAGUCUACCUAUAUAACAAAUACACACAGGUACCUCUAAACUUAAAAUAAAAGUUAAAGAAACAAAGGCACUCUUAGAAUGCUGAAUUGAAAUGGAGUCAGUGGGCAGGCCCAGGCUUCCAUCCCAGAAAAAUGAUGGAGAUUUUUUUCCACUCUUGAAAAAGCACAAUGAGAUACCAUCUCACAUAAAUCAGAAUGGCUAUGUUUAAAAAGUUUAGAAAACAACAGAUGCUGAUGAGACUGCAGAGAAAAGAGAUCACUUACACAUUGUUGUUGGGAAUGCAAAUUAGUUCAGCCACUGUGGAAACAGUUUGGAGAUUUCUUGAAGAACUUGAAACAGAACUACAUCUGACCCAAAAAUCUAAAAGAAAAUAAAUCAUUCCACCAGAAUGACACAUGCACUUGUAUGGUUAUCAUGGCACCAUGCACAAUGGCAAAGACAUAGAAUCAAUCUAGGUGCCCGUCCAUGGCAGAUUGGAUGAAGAAAAUGUGGUACAUAUACACCAUGGAAUACUAUGCAGCCAUAAAAAACAAUGAGAUCAUGUCCUUUGCAACAACAUGGAUGCAGCUAGUGGCCAUUAUCUUAAGCGAAUUAAGACAGGAACAGAAAACCAGAUAUCACAUGUUCUCAUUUAUAAAUGGGAGCUAAACAUUGAGUACUCAUGGACAUAAAGAUGGGAAUAAUAGAUCCUGGGGACUAUUGGAGGGGCGAGGGAAGCAGGUAAACAAGAAUUGAAAAACUAAUUGUCAAAACAAAGGUUGAAAAAGUAUGCUCACUACCUGGGUGAUGGGAUCAUUCAAAUCCCAUACCUCAGCAUCAUGCAAAAUACCUAUGUAACAAACCUGCACAUAUACCCCUUGAAUCUAAAAAAAAAGUUGAAAUUAUUUUAAAAAUUUUAAAAUAAAAAUACUUAAAAGAAUCAAUGCGUGCAUGGGUGGUGGUACCCAUCACUACAUGGACAUAAGCCAUAAAUGUUUGGCAGCUUACUACAGUUUCACUCAAUGUGGCCUUGGCAAACAGGGGUGAUGGGAAAUCCUCCCUCUGGCCAGGACUUCAGGUAGUGUAUCUGUUAUUACAGUUUGUGGAAUAUAUAGAGACUCCUUAGCAGUAGCAAUUUUUCUAGCCAAAUGGUUACAAAUACCAAGAAGAAGAAGGAGAAGAAGAGGAAGAAGAGGAGGAAGAGGAAGAAGAAGAAGAAGAAGAAGAAGAAGAAGAAGAAGAAGAAGAAGAAGAAGAAGAAGAAGAAGAAGAAGAAGAAGAAAAAGAAGAAGAGGAAGAAGAGGAAGAAGCAGAAGAAAAGAAGAAGAAGAAGGAGGAGGAGGAGGAGAGGAAGAAGAAGGAGGAGGAGGAGGGGGAAGGGGAAGAAACAGGGAACAAGGAAUUACAGAGUAGAGACAGUGAGUAAUAUUUAUCACAUUUUAACGCCCACCAGAGAGCACUUCAACACAGCACAUGCAAUAAAGAGCCAAAUAUAAAAAAUAGCCAGGUGAUAUGGUUUGGCUUUGUGCCCCCACCCAAAUAUCAUCUUGAAUUGUAGCUCCCAUAAUUUCCACGUGUUGUGGGAGGGACCUGGUGGUAAAUAAUUGAAUCAUGGGGGUGGAUCUUUCCUGUGCUAUUCUCAUGAUAGUGAAUAAGUCUCAUGAGAUCUGGUGGUUUUAUAAAGGGGAAUUUCCCUGCACAAGCUCUUUUCUCUUGCCUGCUGCUAUGUGAGAUGUGACUUUGACCUUCCGCCAUGAUUGUGAGGCUUCCCCAGCCACAUGGAACUGUGAGUCCAUUAAACAUUUUUAUUUUGUAAAUUGCCCAGUCUAAGAUAUGUCUUUAUCAGCAGCAUGAGAGCAGACUAAUACAGCAAGCAAAUUUUAUUAGCCGGGCUUAGUCACUGGACACAUCAAUAUUGGCAUGUUGGGCACAUGAACAAAGUGGUUUUAGUGGCAGAGAUGGAGGCUAAGUAUGAAGAUAUCGAUAUGACUAUUCUAGCUAUUAGCACCACCAAAUGUCUAUCCCAGCAGCAAGAAAGCUGAAAGCUAAACCCCAACGGGAAUUUAAUUCUCAAGGAGAUCAGAUGGCCUCUUGAAGACAAGUUGCCUAAAAUCAGCCUUUCUA
rnacentral:lncRNA from 1 species